AACUCAAAAUCUGCAUAUAAAAGAAUAAAAAUAGAUCUACAUCUAUCGCCGUGCACAAAUCUCAACUCCCAAUGGACAAAGGAUGUCAACACAAGACCAGACACCUAGAAUAUGAUAGAAGAAAAAAUAGGCUUGGGACGAGUUAAUGAUCAAAGAAAACAUUCAGGGCCUCAGUUCUUUGAUCUUGUGACAGGUUUCAGGGUGCACCAUGAAAGGGAAGGUCAUGAACGAAGAGUAGGUACUUUUAUUGUAAAUGAAAGAACGUUCAUCUUCAUGCUGAUCUUCAAAAAACAUAGUGGGCUGUCUUAACCCCGGAAAUAGUCACGCUAGAUUAUACGCAGUGGGGGAAUCUUCCCAUGCCCAUUCAUACCAUGCCAGGUAUAUGAGAAGACAAAUAUGAGAAGGCACAUCAGUAGCAAGAAGCAAUACUGGGAUGAAGCCGCUGAGGUCGCGCUUCUCCGUCUCAGCUCCAUCGCAGCUGAGCAAAAGGGUGGGCCUUCUCUAGGAAGCUCACUCGCGUACUGCAGCUCUCCAGCCUAGCGUCCAACACGAAAGGACUUGGUUUGACCUUUUCCAAAUGCAACAGAGGUUCGGGUAGAUUAUUUUUCACAGGGUCUCAGAGUUGGGAGGUGACAGGCCAGAAUUAGGAAGCAGAAAUUGAGAAUCAAAUAAUGAGCUCUUCCUCUGCCCCAACUUCCCUGUCUCUGCCUGGUCUGCACAGUAACUCACCGUUAACACUCCAAAUACUGGACCUCCCAACCUCUACAGCCUUGAAUUUAGACUGGGCUCCUGGUAAUAGUUUCCUGCCCCAGAGCUGGGCUCAAUCCCUCUGGAACUCUGCCCGGGUGUUUCUAACCAAGUUGGCUUUUAGGCCAAGGCUGUAGAGGAAACUUCUGCAGAGAAAGAGCAACUCAGUAUGUUCUUGCCAUUUUAGCUUCUGGAGGAAAGUGAGCAAAUUGGUGGUUCAGCUCUAGACCCAGAGGUAGCAGGCCCCUUCCCCCCACUAGUGGGUUCUAGCACUUCAGAAGUAAAGAGUCUUACCUGUUGUGUUUCCGUAGAAGCCUGCAAAUGAGCCGUGGGUCCAGAGGCUGCUGUUUUCUUGCAUAAGUUGGAAGAAUCCUCACCUUGAGGACCCAAGUGACCACGUAAAUGUGCAGAUUCUGUCUCUGAACCUGAAUCAGGAAUCCGCUACCCCCUCCCUCCGCACUGCUCCUUCUCCCCUCCCCCUAACCCCAACAUUCAUUCAUUUAAUCUCACUCUCACCCGCACUCACCUGUAGCCUGAAGGUCGCUUUCCUUGAUCCAGGGCCACCAAUUAGGUUAAAAGGCUCCCACUUCAAGAUGUGCCAGCCGCCUUGAAAAAGGGGUAUGUGGAGCGCAUUCCCUGUUAGAAUCGCCGUCAGGUGGCGGAGCUAAUCGUUGGAUUUUGUGUACUUUCUUCUGUGACUGGCAGGGGGACCCAAAAUAGAGAUGUUCCCGCUCGGUUUCGAACCGAGGACCUCUCGCGUGUGAGGCGAGCGUGAUAACCACUACACUACGGAAACACAACGGUCUUUACUUCACAGAGAAGGAAAUUCAUCUAGUCAGAAGUGUCCUGAAACAGAUUUCCACUAACAGAAGGCUUGAGGAUAACACCUGAGGUCAGUUCACAUUUCAAGAGAAUCAAAAUUGUUCCCUCUUGCUAAACUGAAUGCAGGUGAGACUGAGAACUGGAUGAGGAUGGUGUAGAGGACUGUGCAUGGUGCAGGGGAGGCUGGGAAUUUGGUGGACUGUGCAUGGUGCAGGGGAGGCUGGGAAUUUGGUGGACUGUGGAUAGGGCAGGGGAGGCUGGGAAUUUGGUGGACUGUGCAUGGUGCAGGGGAGGCUGGGAAUUUGGUGGACUGUGCAUGGUGCAGGGGAGGCUGGGAAUUUGGUGGACUGUGCAUAGGGCAGGGGAGGCUGGGAAGGGGUGGUCAGGAGCAGAGGGAUGGGAGGAUUGACGUAAUGUCUCUUUCCACAUUUGAUAAAUACGUCUGUCUUGAUGAAGGAGGAACACCAUCUCAGUCAGCCUCUGAGGCCUGCAUGCAGCAUUAAUACAGAGGUUCCUGUAUGGACAGAACAGUGUUCUGAAAUGCAGUAUAGUCCCUGAGAGGAAGGUCACAGGGCAAGCUAUAUUUUAUCACGAUUCAUCCCUGAGCAGUUGGUGACAUCUGGACUUUUCCACUGAAGUUUCACAAUGGCCAAAGUCUCAAGCUUAAAAGGAGUUGCAAGAUUAGAAGAUGUGGC
rnacentral:tRNA from 1 species